rnacentral:snoRNA from 1 species
UUAGAUGAUGAGCAGCGGGUCAGCUGAAAGAUGAUGAAUAACUGGAGCGCUGACC